rnacentral:rRNA from 1 species
GACGAACGCUGGCGGCGUGCUUAACACAUGCAAGUCGAACGAUGAAGAAAAGAAUCGAAGCUUCGGCAGAAAUUCAUUUCGGAUUAGUGGCAGACGGGUGAGUAACGCGUGAGCAACCUACCUCUUACAAAGGGAUAGCCUCGGGAAACCGGGAUUAAUACCAUAUAACAUUGUGACGAAGCAUUUCGAUGCAAUCAAAGCUACGGCGGUAAGAGAUGGGCUCGCGUCCCAUUAACCGGAUGGUGAGGUAACGGCUCACCAUAGUGACGAUGGGUAACCGGCCUGAGAGGGUGAACGGUAACACUGGAACUGAGACACGGUCCAGACUCCUACGGGAGGCAGCAGUGGGGAAUAUUGCACAAUGGAGGGAACUCUGAUGCAGCGACGCCGCGUGAGUGAUGAAGGAAUUCGUUUCGUAAAACUCUGUUCUAUGGGAAGAAAAGGACGGUACCAUAGGAGAAAGCUCCGGCUAAAUACGUG